GAUGAUUCUCACUGACUCAAAGGGUAGCAGGUCCGGGAGAAAAUGUCUCACUCAUUUCUUUAUUUAUUUACACGCCUAUCUUUAAGCUCAGCCGGUCUGUGAAACUACCACAAGCGUCACUCGGGAUCGAUAGCGCGAAGCAGCGUGGAGCACCUGACCGUGUCCAUCUUACAGUUAGCGGCGGCGGCUGCACCUGUGACCACGAGCGGGUUAAUGCUGCCUGUCUGGCUGACAGCAGGACAGAGGCAGGAAAGGGAAGCUUAAAUGAGUGAAUGGCAGGGGGCAGAGGAGGAGGAAGAGGAGUGACAGAAUGAUAAAGUGAAUUAAUUCAACCUUAGCCAGCCCUGAUUGACUCAGCACCAAACUGGCAUGUACAAACAUUCACAGUGACACCAAAGGCAUGGAGAGAGAAAAGAGGAAUGAUAUGUCCUACUCUAGAAAGAGAAGUUUCACUUUUGGGGCAUAUGGCAGUGUGGAUAGAUUCACAUGUGGGGAUGAGACGGGACCUGAAUUCGUGCAGGACAAAAGUCUGGACACCCUGGAUUCUCCUACCAGUGAGCGCAAG
ensembl:lncRNA